GCAGGUGCACUUUGUUCUUUUCUCUGAAGAUAUUUACAAUGUCUGGUUGGACAAGGCAAAUAAAUUGCUUAAAGCUUAGAGGAGCAAAGAGCAAGGAGCUUGAAGAUGUAUAAGCCAUUCUGUCAUUUUGCAAUGUAAAACCUUUUCAUGUACUGGAGCUGAAGCCUGUGACUUCACGUGUGUAAAACUGAAUGGUUUAUGUUAGUUACCAGUAGAAUUGCUAUUAUCUUGGAGAAUGAUGGAACUUCCAGAGCUACUUGGUAAUUAAUGGCAUCUGCUUGGGCAUCAGAUUAUUUUACAGCAUCACAUUUAUCCUUGGAUCACCGUUUGUUCUUUUGGUUAAUCAAAAUUAAAUACCUGCUUUAUUCAAAGCUUGAAAGUUUAAAUAAGAAAUAAUCAUCUGCUACAUAUUUCACCAGGUGAUAAGGUGAAUGUGUGUUUCAUUUCGGGAUUUAGAGAUAGGAAACUGAGAAUAAUCAGAAUAUGCAGAAAAGGCACUCAUCAAAUGCCAUAAAGUUUUACAUCUUUGUCAAACAAUGGACAAGAACAACUGCAUCUAAAAUGAUUGAAAAUCAGUGUAAGCCUUGAAUGGCAGUCUUUUACACAGCAGCAACACAUCUAUUAGUUUUGGAGUCUAAAUCUAAAGUCUCUGGAUUAAGGGUCUUUGUCUUUGGAUGUAUUUCUGGGGAGUCUGUUAAAAACACUCUCAUCCACAACUUUAUAAUGCCUUGAAAAUUGGCGGUGGAUCUUUCCACAAUACUUACCCACAGUCCCUUCAUAUUUGCUGUACAAAGGCAGGAAUUGUUAUGCACAGGACUGAACCUGCCACCAUCAAAGGAGAAGUAUAAGUAUAAAACCAUACAAGAAAGUUUCGUGUAUCCCCCCCCAUUAUUUUGCAAAGAAACUUGUUAAAGGGGUCUCCAGACCCCAACCAUUUACGCAAUAUAUGGAUGAAAGAACUCAAUGACUGCACUAGCAACAUAGCACACUUUUACUUUCUUUUGUUUUAAUAUGAAAUGUCUGUAUUGCCCCCACGAUCUGAUUUAUUUCCGGAUACGUUUCCGGCUUCCUGCGUAUCCGAGGACAGAUUCUGAACCCUCCGGCUACUCGCUGGUAUGGCUGAAACUUCCGGUAACUCGUUAAAAUAGCCCGAUACGCGUCUGAUACGUCCGGAUACGUAUCCGGAAAUCAAUCGGAUUGUGGGGGCAAUACAGACCUUUCAUCAUGGUUAUUAUCAUUGAAGACGAAAGAGCGCGUUGGGUUACAUCAAUGGGCCGGGUUUUGUCGCCCCGAUAUGGGCCAAUUCUGUGAAGCCAAUCAGGUUGCGCCAGGUGGCAAGUGACUUGUAAAUUUCUGGGACUCUCUGAAAUUUUGACAUUGAUAAAGCUCUGAAAGGGAAUGGCGAGACGUCUGAGGGCGAUCAGUUUGAGGUGUGGUAAAGCUCAGAGCUUUGUUAGGGUUUCGGCGAUGGCGAGUGGAGAAGGAGCUGUGAGGUUUGCUUUGUCUGAUAAAAGCACUCUCGUGAUACAAAUGGGCGAUAUCACCAAGUGGUUCAUCGACGGCUCCACUGAUGCAAUUGUUAGUCUCAAUUAUUAUUAUUAUUUAUUUUUAAUUUUUUUUUUUUUUUUUUUGUAGUUCAUGACAGUAAAUUCAGGGUUUUAGAUUGUAGUGAUGACUUUUAGUUGAGUAUCCUAAAGAGUUUUUAAUCUGGGUUUAGUGUAAGUUUAAUCAUGAAUCUCAAAUCAAUUUUGAGUUUAGUGUAGAAUGUUUGGAGGUUAAUCUAAUAACAUGAUAUUGUGUAGGUUAAUUCAGCUAAUGAGAGAAUGCUUGGAGGUGGUGGAGGUGGUGAUGUAGAUGGAGGUAAAUAAUGGUUUUGUAACGAUGAACUUUCAAAAUGAAUUCAGUGUUGGUAUGCUGAUUUUGGUUCACCUUGCAGCUGUACAUAGGGCUGCUGGGCCAGAUCUUCUACAGGCAUGCUAUGUGUUCCGGAAGCCAGGCCUGGAGUCCGCUGCCCCACCGGAGAAGCGAGAAUUACCCCGUAAGUUGUCAUGAUUAGAGUAGUAUUUAACACUUGUGACUUGAUAUUGCUUUUGAUUGGUACUGCGCGUUAGUAACCAACUGCAUUUGUAAAUGAUGCAGGGGUUUUAAGUUGCCGGCGGCUUAUGUAAUUCACACCGUUGGACCUGUAUACUGUGCUUAUAAUAACCCUGAAGUCUAUCUGAGCUCUGCAUACAGGUGAUUAGUCGUAACUUUUUGUUUCUAGAUGCUGCUACUUUGCUCGGAAUCUAAUUUUUUGUGCUCAUUGAGAUUUCUUUGAUGAAAAUGUUAACAGGAGCAGCUUGAGCAUAGCCAAGGAACACAACAUUCAGUAUGUUGCAUUUCCUGCUAUAUCUUGUGGUGGGUAUGGGUAAGUUCCCAACUGAACUUCGUUCAUGGUUUGGUUCCACUGCAUAAGCUUUACAUGAAGGGUAGGAAUGACGGUACCUGCUGAUCAUUUUGGAUCAGCUGAUUGAGUUACAAUUCAUUCCUUUCAUUACUUGGAGUCGAAACCAAGUUGUGGUAAUUCGUCAUUGGAUUUUUUGUAUUGGAGUUGUAAACAACUGAACAAGCGACUGACAGAUUAAUCUCUUCUUAAUUUGUCAUGUUCUACCAGAUAUCCUUAUGAUGAAGCUUCCGAAGUGGCUCUAUCCACAAUUAAAGAAUCAGUGAAUGACAUAAAAGAGGUAUGGUAUGCUUAUAUCUGCUUCUUGUCAUGGCAGUAAUGUGGGUCUUCUUUUCCAUCUUAAUUUUUCGUUCUUUCUUCAUGCGAUUCCACAUGUUCACUUUCUCUAUUUAGAUGGGUCAGGCUUUGUUCUUGUGGGAAGCAGAACAUUUUUUACCCCGAUAUUGGAAACUAUCUGAAGCAUUAUCUUACUGAAGUUAAAUACACUGCUGAUCCAAAACCCUUGAACAGUUUAAUAUUAUAAUAUAUUUACUAGCAGCUACAUUCUACAUUGUUGCAAGUGCACUGCGUUCUUUUCUCUGAAGAUAUUUACAAUGUCUGGUUGGACAAGGCAAAUAAAUUGCUUAAAGCCUAGAGGAGCAAAGAGCAAGGAGCUUGAAGAUGUACAAGCCAUUCUGUCAUUUUGCACUGUAAAACCUUUCAUGUACUGGAGCUGAAGUGUGCGACUUCUCGUGUGUAAAACCGAAUGGUUUAUGUUAAUUACCAAUUGAAUUGCUAUUCUCUUGGAGAAUGCAUGGAACUUCCAGAGCUACUUGGUAAUUUAUGGCAUCUGCUUGGG
rnacentral:lncRNA from 1 species